GGGGUGCAUUCAAUACUGGAUAGCUAGAGUACAGGAGAGGGAAGCGGAAUUCCUAGUGUAGCGGUGAAAUGCGUAGAUAUUAGGAGGAACACCGGUGGCGAAGGCGGCUUUCUGGACUGAAACUGACGCUGAGGCACGAAAGCGUGGGGAGCAAACAGGAUUAGAUACCCUGGUAGUCCACGCUGUAAACGAUGAAUACUAGGUGUAGGGGGUAUAGACUCCCUC
rnacentral:rRNA from 1 species